AUUGAACGCUGGCGGCAAGCCUAACACAUGCAAGUCGAACGAGUGGCGGACGGGUGAGUAAUGUCUGGGAAACUGCCUGAUGGAGGGGGAUAACUACUGGAAACGGUAGCUAAUACCGCAUACCAUCGGAGGUGCCCAGAGGGGAUUAGCUAGUAGGUGGGGUAAAGGCGCACCUGGGCGACGAAGCCUAGCUGGUCUGAGAGGCUGACCGGCCACACUGGAACUGAGACACGGCCCAGACGCCUACGGGAGGCAGCAGGGGGGAAUAUUGCACAAUGGGCGCAAGCCUGAUGCAGCCAUGCCGCGUGUAUGAAGAAGGCUUUCGGGUUGUAAAGUACUUUCAGCAGGGAGGCGUUACCCGACGAAGAAGCACCGGCUAACUCCGUGCCAGCAGCCGCGGUAAUUC
rnacentral:rRNA from 1 species